UACGAAGGGGGCUAGCGUUGCUCGGAAUCACUGGGCGUAAAGCGCACGUAGGCGGUUUGUUAAGUCAGGUGUGAAAUCCUGGAGCUCAACUCCAGAACUGCCUUUGAUACUGGCGAUCUCGAGUCCGGGAGAGGUGAGUGGAACUGCGAGUGUAGAGGUGAAAUUCGUAGAUAUUCGCAAGAACACCAGUGGCGAAGGCGGCUCACUGGCCCGGUACUGACGCUGAGGUGCGAAAGCGUGGGGAGCGAACAGG
rnacentral:rRNA from 1 species